ACCGGGAGGACGGGUGGCGAGCGGCCCCUGGACAAGACUGACGCUCAGGUGCGAAAGCGUGGGGAGCAAACAGGAUUAGAUACCCUGGUAGUCCACGCCGUAAACGAUGUCGAUUUGGAGGUUGUGCCCUUGAGGCGUGGCUUCCGGAGCUAACGCGUUAAAUCGACCGCCUGGGGAGUACGGCCGCAAGGUUAAAACUCAAAUGAAUUGACGGGGGCCCGCACAAGCGGUGGAGCAUGUGGUUUAAUUCGAUGCAACGCGAAGAACCUUACCUGGUCUUGACAUCCACAGAACUUUCCAGAGAUGGAUUGGUGCCUUCGGGAACUGUGAGACAGGUGCUGCAUGGCUGUCGUCAGCUCGUGUUGUGAAAUGUUGGGUUAAGUCCCGCAACGAGCGCAACCCUUAUCCUUUGUUGCCAGCGGUUAGGCCGGGAACUCAAAGGAGACUGCCAGUGAUAAACUGGAGGAAGGUGGGGAUGACGUCAAGUCAUCAUGGCCCUUACGACCAGGGCUACACACGUGCUACAAUGGCAUAUACAAAGAGAAGCGACCUCGCGAGAGCAAGCGGACCUCAUAAAGUAUGUCGUAGUCCGGAUUGGAGUCUGCAACUCGACUCCAUGAAGUCGGAAUCGCUAGUAAUCGUAGAUCAGAAUGCUACGGUGAAUACGUUCCCGGGCCUUGUACACACCGCCCGUCACACCAUGGGAGUGGGUUGCAAAAGAAGUAGGUAGCUUAACCUUCGGGAGGGCGCUUACCACUUUGUGAUUCAUGACUGGGGUGAAGUCGUAACAAGGUAGCCGUGGUCAUAGCCUGGUUUUCCUGA
rnacentral:rRNA from 1 species